rnacentral:rRNA from 1 species
AUUGAACGCUGGCGGCAUGCCUUACACAUGCAAGUCGAACGGCAGCACGGGUGCUUGCACCUGGUGGCGAGUGGCGAACGGGUGAGUAAUACAUCGGAACAUGUCCUGUAGCGGGGGAUAGCCCGGCGAAAGCCGGAUUAAUACCGCAUACGAUCUACGGAUGAAAGCGGGGGACCUUCGGGCCUCGCGCUAUAGGGUUGGCCGAUGGCUGAUUAGCUAGUUGGUGGGGUAAAGGCCUACCAAGGCGACGAUCAGUAGCUGGUCUGAGAGGACGACCAGCCAUACUGGGACUGAGACACGGCCCAGACUCCUACGGGAGGCAGCAGUGGGGAAUUUUGGACAAUGGGCGAAAGCCUGAUCCAGCAAUGCCGCGUGUGUGAAGAAGGCCUUCGGGUUGUAAAGCACUUUUGUCCGGAAAGAAAUCCUUGGCCCUAAUACGGUCGGGGGAUGACGGUACCGGAAGAAUAAGCACCGGCUAACUACGUG